rnacentral:rRNA from 1 species
ACUCAAAUGAAUAGACGGGGGCCCGCACAAGCAGUGGAUCAUGUGGUUUAAUUCGAAGCAACGCGAAGAACCUUACCUGGGUUUGACAUGCCUUUGAACUUUUCUAGAGAUAGAUUAGGACUCGCAAGAGACAAAGGACACAGGUGCUGCAUGGCUGUCGUCAGCUCGUGUUGUGAAAUGUUGGGUUAAGUCCCGCAACGAGCGCAACCCCUGUGUUUGGUUGCCAUCAUUAAGUUGGGCACUCCAGACAGACUGCCGUCGUUAAGACGGAGGAAGGUGGGGAUGACGUCAAGUCCUCAUGGCCUUUAUAUCCAGGGCGACACACGUGAUACAAUGGUAGGUACAGAGGGUAGCGAAGUAGCAAUACGAAGCCAAUCUCAAAAAGCCUAUCUCAGUUCGGAUUGGAGUCUGCAACUCGACUCCAUGAAGUUGGAAUUGCUAGUAAUCGCGGAUCAGCACGCCGCGGUGAAUACGUUCCCGGGCCUUGUACACACCGCCCGU